UACGGAGGGUGCGAGCGUUGUCCGGAAUCACUGGGCGUAAAGGGCGCGUAGGUGGCUUGGUAAGCGUGCGGUGAAAGCCCGGGGCUCAACUCCGGGUCUGCCGUGCGAACUGCCAGGCUUGAGCACGGUAGAGGCCAAUGGAAUUCCGGGUGUAGCGGUGGAAUGCGUAGAGAUCCGGAAGUACACCGGUGGCGAAGGCGGUCUGCUGGGCAGUUGCUGACACUGAGGCGCGACAGCGUGGGGAGCAAACAGG
rnacentral:rRNA from 1 species